rnacentral:rRNA from 1 species
AUACGGAGGGUGCAAGCGUUAUUCGGAAUCACUGGGCGUAAAGGACGCGUAGGCGGGUUGGCAGGUCAGAUGUGAAAUCCUACAGCUUAACUGUAGAACUGCAUUUGAAACUGCUAACCUAGAGUAUGGGAGGGGGAGAUGGAAUUAGUGGUGUAGGGGUAAAAUCCGUAGAUAUCACUAGGAAUACCGAAAGCGAAGGCGAUCUCCUGGAACAUAACUGAUGCUAAGGUGUGAAAGCGUGGGGAGCAAACAGGAUUAGAUACCCUAGUAGUCC